rnacentral:rRNA from 1 species
UCGGGGCAUCCUAUUAGUAAACCCAUUUGGACAGAUUUAUCAGAUUGGGAUAUUCUUGAUCGAUUUGGUCGGAUAUGUAGAAAUCUUUUUCAUUAUCAUAGUGGAUCUUCGAAAAAACGGACUUUGUAUCGACUAAAGUAUAUACUUCCUCUUUUCUGCAACGGAAAAAAAUAA